ACAACAAUAAUAAUAAUAAUAGUAAUAAUAAUAAUAGUAAUAAUAAUAAUAAUAAUAAUAAUUAAAGCUGCAAGCAGCGUUAUGAGGGCCCUCGCACCCCCGGCGCGUCGAGCCACGGCCAACACCUAAAACCAACACCUCCGAUCUGAUGUCACAUUGAUGAAAUUCAUGCAUUCAACCACCAGCUAACAUUUCAUCUCAUUCAAUCAUGAUUAUAGUCGUCCCACUAGGUGGCGCUCUAACCAUUACUGACAAAUGGCAUAACAAACAUUUCCAAGCUCGAGUCUCAUCACGCCUGCGACCUUUGGGAGAGAUUGGACAUUUAGAUUUUGAGUGACAGCAGAUUACUGCUUUUUGGCGAGUGAUUGAAACUCCACGUGCCACCAUGACAACCCCGUUUCCCUGAACGUAAAAAGCUUCGCAAUUUAACAUCACAAAGGUCUUUAGAUUCCACACACUGGAGAUUGGUUCAAUAUGAUGAAAUCCCUUGGAGGAGUUCGUCAAAGAACGGUGCCUGGAAAGAGGGGAAAAUGUUGCCAAAAUUACACAUUAAUUUUAAAAUGGCUGACUUCCUGUUGGAUUUGGGAUAUUGCUCCAAGAGACUUUUUUGUACAUCUUGAUAUCUCCAAUAAGCUUACCAGGUUUCAGACUCAUACAUAGAACACAGAGCAGGGGCUGGGGUUUUGAAAUUUUGUAGGGGGCGCUGUGGAGCAAUUUCGCGCUAUUCAAUGAAAAUGAUCACAUGACAACAAAGCCUUCAUCCAUUUGGAGGUGUGUGCAAAAUUUCAAGCCUCUAUAAACUUUCCAAGCCCUCAAAAGCCACUUCAUCUUUCAUGGUGAACCGCGUUGCCACCAGGGUGCGCCGUUCAGUUUAAAUUCACAAUUUUUGCACUGAAGCAUCACGAGGGACAGAUGGUGAUAUUCACCGCUUUUGAGGUGGCCACGAUGAACCUGUGAAAAUCAGUACAACAAAAUUAAAGCCAUGACAUUUCCUGUUGCCACUAGGUGGCGCUGUCCGUAUUCCCGACAAUGGGCACAUCAAUCUGUUCAGGGCGGGUCUGACAUCAUGCCUGUAAAGUCUGGUACUGAUCAGACUGGAUUUCAUUGAGUUAUACUAAUUUGUUUCUUCAUGGCGUGACAUCAAAGUUCGCCAUGCUGCUGGGGUCACACCCUUUUGCGAAAAGUCACAGUUUUCACUAUAACCCAAGACCAACUCCUUAAGGCUUUCCUGGAGAAAUUUGAGGCUGCAGAUGUCACCCAUCACUAUACUGUACCCCAAAGUGUAAAACAUGACAUUUCCUGUUCCCACUAGGUGGCGCUGUCCUUGAUGUCAAAUAUGGCAGUUGAAAUAUGUUCAGGGGUGGAGCCUUAUCAUAUGUGUUCACUUUGGUCAAGGUCAGAAAAUGUAUGACAAAAUGAGAGGCAAUAAGAUUUUCAUGGCGAGUCAUCGAAAUUCGCCAUGGCGCCACGGCCUCAUAGUAUUGUGAAAACUCAAAAGCUCCGCAAUUUAACAUGGCACAAGGGUGUAGUUGACACUGUCCAAAUUUGAAGCUUAUAGGACCAAAUCCCAAGGAGGAGUUCGUUAAAGUACAAGGCAUGGAAACGGUAAAAUCAGAGCCAAAAUGUCACCUUCAAUCCAAAAUGGCGGACUUCCUGUUGGGAUUAGGACAUUGCCAUAAUAGACUUUUUUGUUCGACUCUGAACGUUAUAUAGGUGUACCGACUUUCAAACUUGUAGGCCAUACCCAUACCGGGGGCUCGCGUUUUUCAUUUUUCUAGGUGGCGCUACUGAGCUAAUUUUCCCUGGCCAUGUCUGAGAACAUUAAAAUACGUAAAUUUUCACCAGACCUGACGCGUGUGCAAAAUUUCAUGAGUUUUCGAGCAUGUUUAGGCCCUCAAACGGCCAAUUCAUUUGCCGAAAUAAUAAUAAUUAAAGCUGCAAGCAGCGUUAUGAGGGCCCUCGCACCCCCAGCGCGUCGAGCCACGCCCAACACCUAAAACCAGCACCUCCGAUCUGAUGUCACAUUGAUGGAAUUCAUGCAUUUAACCACCAGCUAACAUUUCAACUCAUUCAUUCAUGAUUAGUUAGUCAUUCCACUAGGUGGCGCUCUAACCAUUAUGUACAAAUGGCAUAACAAACACUUCCAAGCUCGAGUCUCAUCACACCUGAGACGUUUGGGAGAGAUUGGACAUUGUGUUUUUGAGUGACAGCAGAUUACUGCUUUUUGGCGAGUGAUUCAAACUCUAAGUGCCGCCAUAACCACCCCGUUUCCCUGGACGUAAAAAGCUUCGCAAUUUAACAUCACAAAGGUCUUUAGAUUCCACACACUGGAGAUUGGUUCAAUAUGAUGAAAUCCCUUGGAGGAGUUCGUCAAAGAACGAUGCCUGAAAAGAGGGGAAAAUGUUGCCAAAAUUGCACAUUAAUUUUAAAAUGGCUGACUUCCUGUUGGAUUUGGGAUAUUGCUCCAAGAGACUUUUUUGUACAUCUUGAUAUCUCCUAUAAGCUUAUCAGGUUUCAGACUCAUACAUAAAACACAGAGCUGGGGCUGAUGUUUUGAAAUUUUGCAGGGGGCGCUGUGGAGCAAUUUCGCGCUAUUCAAUGAAAAUGAUCACAUAACAACAAAGCCUUAUGCACAUUGGAGGUGUGCGCCAAAUUUCAAGACUUUUUAAACUUUCCAAGCCCCUCAAAAGCAACUUCAUCUUUCAUGGUGGACCGCGUUGCCACCAGGGUGCGCCGUUCAGUUUAAAGUCACAAUUUUUCCACUGAAGCAUCAUGAGGGACUGAUGUUGAUAUUCACCGCUUUUGAGGUGGCCACGAUGAACCUGUGAAAAUCAGUACAACAAAAUUAAAGCCAUGACAUUUCCUGUUCCCACUAGGUGGCGCUGUCCGUAUUUCCGACAAUGGGCACAUCAAUCUGUUCAGGGCGGGUCUGACAUCAUGCCUGUAAAGUCUGGUACUGAUCAGACUGGAUUUCAUGGAGUUAUACUAAUUUGUUUCUUCAUGGCGAGACAUCAAAGUUCGCCAUGCUGCUGAGGUCACACCCUUUCGUGAAAAGUCACAGUUUUCACUGUACCCCAAGACCAACUCCUUAAGCCUUUCCUGGAGAAAUUUGAGGCUGCAGAUGUCACCCAUCACAAUACUGUACCCCAAAGUGUAAAACAUGACAUUUCCUGUUCCCACUAGGUGGCGCUGUCGCUGACGUCAAAUAUGGCAGUUGAAAUAUGUUCAGGGCUGGAGCCUUAUCAUAUGUGUGCUCUUUGGUCCAGAUCGGACAAUGUAUGACAGAAUGAGAGGCAAUAAGAUUUUCAUGGCGAGUCAUCGAAAUUCGCCGUGGCGCCACGGCCUCAUGGUAUUGUGAAAACUCAAAAGCUCCGCAAUUUAACAUGGCACAAGGGUGUAGUUGGCACUGACCAAAUAUGAAGCUUAUACGACCAAAUCCCAAGGAGGAGUUCGUUAAAGUUCGAGGCAUGGAAAUGGCAAAAUUAGAGCCAAAAUGUCACCUUCACGUCCAAAUGGCGGACUUCCUGUUGGGUUUGCGUCAAUGGGCCCACAGACUUUUUUGUUCGUCUUGGCAUGAUACACAUGUGUGCCAAAUUUCAUACAUGUAGCUCAAACGAUGUGGUCGUAGGGCUGCAUUUAACAAGGCAUAGGUGGCGCUCUAGAGCCAUUUCCCAGUGCUCAUAUGUAAAACCAUUAAAAUACAAAAUUUUUCACCAGACCUGGCAUGUGUGCAAAAUUUCAUGAGUUUUUGAGCAUGUUUAGGCCCUCAAAAAGGCCCUUGUUUGGGGUGAAUAAUAAUAAUAAUAAUAAUUAAAGCUGCAAGCAGCGUUAUGAGGGCCCUCGCACCCCCGGCGCGUCGAGCCACGCCCAACACCUAAAACCAGCACGUCCGAUCUGAUGUCACAUUGAUGGAAUUCAUGCAUUUAACCACCAGCUAACAUUUCAACUCAUUCAUUCAUGAUUAGUUAGUCAUUCCACUAGGUGGCACUCUAACCAUUAUGUACAAAUGGCAUAACAAACAUUUCCGAGCUGGAGUCUCAUCACGCCUAUGAGCUUUGGGAGAGAUUGGACAUUGUGUUUUUGAGUGACAGCAGAUUACUGCUUUUUGGCGAGUGAUUGAAACUCCACGUGCCGCCAUGACCACCCCGUUUCCCUGAACGGAAAAAGCUUCGCAAUUUAACAUCACAAAGGUCUUUAGAUUCUACACACUGAAGAAUGCUUCAAUAUGAUGAAAUCCCUUGGAGGAGUUCGUCAAAGUAUGAGGCCUGAAAAGGGGGGAAAAUGUCGUCAAAAUUACACAUUAAUUUUAAAAUGGCUGACUUCCUGUUGGAUUUGGGAUAUUGCUCCAAGAGACUUUUUUGUACAUCUUGAUAUCUCCUAUAAGAUUACCACGUUUCAGACUCAUACAUAAAACACAGAGCAGGGGCUGCAAUUUUGAAAUUUUGUAGGGGGCGCUGUGGAGCCAUUUUGGGAUAUUCAAUGAAAAUGAUCACAUGACAACAAAGCCUUCAUCCAUUUGGAGGUGUGUGCCAAAUUUCAAGCCUCUAUAAACUUUCCAAGCCCCUCAAAAGCCACUUCAUCUUUCAUGAUGAACCGCGUUGCCACCAGGGUGCGCCGUUCAGUUUAAAGUCACAAUUUUUGCACUGAAGCAUCACGAGGGACUGAUGGUGAUAUUCACUGCUUCUGAGGUGGCCACGAUGAACCUGUGAAAAUCAGUACAACAAAAUUAAAGCCAUGACAUUUCCUGUUGCCACUAGGUGGCGCUGUCCGUAUUUCCGACAAUGGGCACAUCAAUCUGUUCAGGGCGGGUCUGACAUCAUGCCUGUAAAGCCUGGUACUGAUCAGACUGGAUUUCAUUGAGUUAUACUAAUUUGUUUCUUCAUGGCGUGACAUCAAAGUUCGCCAUGCUGCUGGGGUCACACCCUUUCGCGAAAACUCACAGUUUUCACUGUAACCCAAGAUCAACUCCUUAAGGCUUUCCUGGAGAAAUUUGAGGCUGCAGAUGUCACCCAUCACUAUACUGUACCCCAAAGUGUAAAACAUGACAUUUCCUGUUCCCACUAGGUGGCGCUGUCCUUGAUGUAAAAUAUGGCAGUUGAAAUAUGUUCAGGGGUGGAGCCUUAUCAUAUGUGUUCACUUUGGUCAAGGUCAGAAAAUGUAUGACAGAAUGAGAGGCAAUAAGAUUUUCAUGGCGAGUCAUCGAAAUUCGCCGUGGCGCCACGUCCUCAUGGUAUGGUGAAAACUCAAAAGCUCCGCAAUUUAACAUGGCACAAGGGUGUAGUUGGCACUGACCAAAUAUGAAGGUUAUGAAAUCAAACCCCAAGGAGGAGUUCGCAAAAGUUCGAGGCAUGGAAAUGGCAAAAUUAGAGCCAAAAUGUCACCUUCUCUUCCAAAUGGCGGACUUCCUGUUGGGUUUGCGUCAAUGGGCCCACAGACUUUUUUGUUCGUCUUGGCAUGAUACACAUGUGUGCCAAAUUUCAUACAUGUAGCUCAAACCAUGUGGUCGUAGGGCUGCAUUUAACAAGGCAUAGGUGGCGCUGUAGAGCCAUUUCCCAGUGCUCAUAUGUAAAACCAUUAAAAUACAAAAUUUUUCACCAGACCUGGCAUGUGUGCAAAAUUUCAUGAGUUUUUGAGCAUGUUUAGGCCCUCAAAAAGGCCCUUGUUUGGGGUGAAUAAUAAUAAUAAUAAUAAUUAAAGCUGCAAGCAGCGUUAUGAGGGCCCUCGCACCCCGGCGCGUCGAGCCACGCCCAACACCUAAAACCAGCACGUCCGAUCUGAUGUCACAUUGAUGGAAUUCAUGCAUUUAACCACCAGCUAACAUUUCAACUCAUUCAUUCAUGAUUAGUUAGUCAUUCCACUAGGUGGCGCUCUAACCAUUAUGUACAAAUGGCAUAACAAACAUUUCCAAGCUCGAGUCUCAUCACACCUGCGACCUUUGGGAGAGAUUGGACAUUGUGUUUUUUAGUGACAGCAGAUUACUGCUUUUUGCGAGUGAUUGAAACUCUACGUGCCGCCAUGACCACCCCGUUUCCCUGAACGUAAAAAGCUUCGCAAUUUAACAUCACAAAGGUCUUUAGAUUCUACACACUGAAGAAUGCUUCAAUAUGAUGAAAUCCCUUGGAGGAGUUCGUCAAAGUAUGAGGCCUGAAAAGGGGGGAAAAUGUCGUCAAAAUUACACAUUAAUUUUAAAAUGGCUGACUUCCUGUUGGAUUUGGGAUAUUGCUCCAAGAGACUUUUUUGUACAUCUUGAUAUCUUACAUAAGCUUACCAAGUUUCAGACUCAUAGAUGAAACACAGAGCAGGGGCUGAUGUUUUGAAAUAUUGUAGGGGGCGCUGUGGAGCCAUUUUGCGCUAUUCAAGGAAAAUGGUUACAUAACCACAAUGCCUUCAUCCAUUUGGAGGUGUGUGCCAAAUUUCAAGCCUCUAUAAACUUUCCAAGCCCCUCAAAAGCCACUUCAUCUUUCAUGAUGAACCGCGUUGCCACCAGGGUGCGCCGUUCAGUUUAAAGUCACAAUUUUUGCACUAAAGCAUCAUCAAGGACUGAUGGUGAUAUUCACCGCUUUUGAGGUGGCCACAAUGAACCUGUGAAAAUCAGUACAACAAAGUGUAAGACGUGACAUUUUCUGUUGCCACUAGGUGGCGCUGUACGUAUUCCCGACAAUGGGCACAUCAAUCUGUUCAGGGCGGGUCUGACAUCAUGCCUGUAAAGUCUGGUACUGAACAGACUGGAUUUCAUUGAGUUAUACUAAUUUGUUUCUUCAUGGCGUGACAUCAAAGUUCGCCAUGCUGCUGGGGUCACACCCUUUUGCGAAAAGUCACAGUUUUCACUGUAACCCAAGACCAACUCCUUAAGGCUUUCCUGGAGAAAUUUGAGGCUGCAGAUGUCACCCAUCACUAUACUGUACCCCAAAGUGUAAAACAUGACAUUUCCUGUUCCCACUAGGUGGCGCUGUCCUUGAUGUCAAAUAUGGCAGUUGAAAUAUGUUCAGGGGUGGAGCCUUAUCAUAUGUGUUCACUUUGGUCAAGGUCAGAAAAUGUAUGACAGAAUGAGAGGCAAUAAGAUUUUCAUGGCGAGUCAUCGAAAUUCGCCGUGGCGCCACGUCCUCAUGGUAUGGUGAAAACUCAAAAGCUCCGCAAUUUAACAUGGCACAAGGGUGUAGUUGGCACUGACCAAAUAUGAAGGUUAUGAAAUCAAACCCCAAGGAGGAGUUCGCAAAAGUUCGAGGCAUGGAAAUGGCAAAAUUAGAGCCAAAAUGUCACCUUCUCUUCCAAAUGGCGGACUUCCUGUUGGGUUUGCAUCAAUGGGCCCACAGACUUUUUUGUUCGUCUUGGCAUGAUACACAUGUGUGCCAAAUUUCAUACAUGUAGCUCAAACGAUGUGGUCGUAGGGCUGCAUUUAACAAGGCAUAGGUGGCGCUGUAGAGCCAUUUCCCAGUGCUCAUAUGUAAAACCAUUAAAAUACAAAAUUUUUCACCAGACCUGGCAUGUGUGCAAAAUUUCAUGAGUUUUUGAGCAUGUUUAGGCCCUCAAAAAGGCCCUUGUUUGGGGUGAAUAAUAAUAAUAAUAAUUAAAGCUGCAAGCAGCGUUAUGAGGGCCCUCGCACCCCGCGCGUCGAGCCACGCCCAACACCUAAAACCAGCACCUCCGAUCUGAUGUCACAUUGAUGGAAUUCAUGCAUUUAACCACCAGCUAACAUUUCAACUCAUUCAUUCAUGAUUAGUUAGUCAUUCCACUAGGUGGCACUCUAACCAUUAUGUACAAAUGGCAUAACAAACAUUUCCGAGCUGGAGUCUCAUCACGCCUAUGAGCUUUGGGAGAGAUUGGACAUUGUGUUUUUGAGUGACAGCAGAUUACUGCUUUUUGGCGAGUGAUUGAAACUCCACGUGCCGCCAUGACCACCCCGUUUCCCUGAAUGUAAAAAGCUUCGCAAUUUAACAUCACAAAGGUCUUUAGAUUCUACACACUGAAGUAUGCUUCAAUAUGAUGAAAUCCCUUGGAGGAGUUCGUCAAAGUAUGAGGCCUGAAAAGGGGGGAAAAUGUCGUCAAAAUUACACAUUAAUUUUAAAAUGGCUGACUUCCUGUUGGAUUUGGGAUAUUGCUCCAAGAGACUUUUUUGUACAUCUUGAUAUCUUACAUAAGCUUACCAGGUUUCAGACUCAUAGAUGAAACACAGAGCAGGGGCUGAUGUUUUGAAAUAUUGUAGGGGGCGCUGUGGAGCCAUUUUGCGCUAUUCAAGGAAAAUGGUUACAUAACCACAAUGCCUUCAUCCAUUUGGAGGUGUGUGCCAAAUUUCAAGCCUCUAUAAACUUUCCAAGCCCCUCAAAAGCCACUUCAUCUUUCAUGAUGAACCGCGUUGCCACCAGGGUGCGCCGUUCAGUUUAAAGUCACAAUUUUUGCACUAAAGCAUCAUCAAGGACUGAUGGUGAUAUUCACCGCUUUUGAGGUGGCCACAAUGAACCUGUGAAAAUCAGUACAACAAAGUGUAAGACGUGACAUUUUCUGUUGCCACUAGGUGGCGCUGUACGUAUUCCCGACAAUGGGCACAUCAAUCUGUUCAGGGCGGGUCUGACAUCAUGCCUGUAAAGUCUGGUACUGAACAGACUGGAUUUCAUUGAGUUAUACUAAUUUGUUUCUUCAUGGCGUGACAUCAAAGUUCGCCAUGCCGCUGGGGUCACACCCUUUUGCGAAAAGUCACAGUUUUCACUGUAACCCAAGACCAACUCCUUAAGGCUUUCCUGGAGAAAUUUGAGGCUGCAGAUGUCACCCAUCACUAUACUGUACCCCAAAGUGUAAAACAUGACAUUUCCUGUUCCCACUAGGUGGCGCUGUCCUUGAUGUCAAAUAUGGCAGUUGAAAUAUGUUCAGGGGUGGAGCCUUAUCAUAUGUGUUCACUUUGGUCAAGGUCAGAAAAUGUAUGACAAAAUGAGAGGCAAUAAGAUUUUCAUGGCGAGUCAUCGAAAUUCGCCAUGGCGCCACGGCCUCAUAGUAUUGUGAAAACUCAAAAGCUCCGCAAUUUAACAUGGCACAAGGGUGUAGUUGAGACUGACCAAAGAUGAAGCUUAUACGACCAAAUCCCAAGGAGGAGUUCGUUAAAGUUCGAGGCAUGGAAACGGUAAAAUCAGAGCCAAAAUGUCACCUUCAAUCCAAAAUGGCGGACUUCCUGUUGGGUUUAGGACAUUGCCAUAAUAGACUUUUUUGUUCGACUCUGAACGUUAUAUAGGUGUACCGACUUUCAAACAUGUAGGCCAUACCCAUACCGGGGGCUCGCGUUUUUCAUUUUUCUAGGUGGCGCUACUGAGCUAAUUUUCCCUGGCCAUGUCUGAGAACAUUAAAAUACGUAAAUUUUCACCAGACCUGACGCGUGUGCAAAAUUUCAUGAGUUUUCGAGCAUGUUUAGGCCCUCAAACGGCCAAUUCAUUUGCCGAAAUAAUAAUAAUAAUAAUAAUAAUAAACAGAGCAAUUACAAUAGGGCCUUCGCACUGUCAGUGCUCGGGCCCUAAUUAAAGCUGCAAGCAGCGUUAUGAGGGCCCUCGCACCCCCAGCGCGUCGAGCCACGCCCAACACCUAAAACCAGCACCUCCGAUCUGAUGUCACAUUGAUGGAAUUCAUGCAUUUAACCACCAGCUAACAUUUCAACUCAUUCAUUCAUGAUUAGUUAGUCGUUCCACUAGGUGGCACUCUAACCAUUAUGUACAAAUGGCAUAACAAACAUUUCCGAGCUGGAGUCUCAUCACGCCUAUGAGCUUUGGGAGAGAUUGGACAUUGUUUUUUUUAGUGACAGCAGAUUACUGCUUUUUGCGAGUGAUUGAAACUCUACGUGCCGCCAUGACCACCCCGUUUCCCUGAACGGAAAAAGCUUCGCAAUUUAACAUCACAAAGGUCUUUAGAUUCUACACACUGAAGAAUGCUUCAAUAUGAUGAAAUCCCUUGGAGGAGUUCGUCAAAGUAUGAGACCUGAAAAGGGGGGAAAAUGUCGUCAAAAUUACACAUUAAUUUUAAAAUGGCUGACUUCCUGUUGGAUUUGGGAUAUUGCUCCAAGAGACUUUUUUGUACAUCUUGAUAUCUUACAUAAGCUUACCAGGUUUCAGACUCAUAGAUGAAACACAGAGCAGGGGCUGAUGUUUUGAAAUAUUGUAGGGGGCGCUGUGGAGCCAUUUUGCGCUAUUCAAGGAAAAUGGUUACAUAAC